UAAUGUUUAUUGAAUCUGGCACUAGGUACAUAAAAGGACACUGGUCAGCGCGCCCUCAGGAAAAUAACAAUUAACCUAAGCAAGGCAGGCAAGAGCCAUUGCUAAAGCAGUUAGUCAACCAUGUGGAAAACACUGUGUACAUAAUUACGUACUGGGAAAGUCGCUGAGUGAAAGUUAACAUCUUUUUGUAAAGGCCUCCAAGAAAAGCAAAUGUCAUCCAGAGACCACACAUCUUCACAGGACAGAAAAUCCUGCAGAUCUCGAUCAUUCAGCCACUCCUCAGAAGGCUCUUGAAUGUUUUCCCAGGGGGCAGUUCCUGAAAUGAAAACAACAAUUUUCAUGCCCUUGCCACACUGAAUUAACAACUUCUGUGCCGUACUUGCCCGUGCUGUUCCCUCUGCGUACGGUGGAUUUUCUGCCUCUUUCCAUGGUGGUAAUUACAAGACAUGCUUCAAGACCCAACUCAAAGGUAGUCAUCCUAAGCCUCCAGAGGUCCUCUGCUUUGAUUAUACUUGGCAUCUUUUUCCUAAUAUUAUGAUAAUAAAAUUAUUAGUAACUGUUGGUAUGUCAG